rnacentral:rRNA from 1 species
GACGGAGGGUGCUAGCGUUGUUCGGAAUCACUGGGCGUAAAGGGCGCGUAGGCGGCCUGGCAAGUCGGCUUUGUGAAAGCCCGGGGGUCAACCCCGGAGGUGCGGCCGAGACUGCGAGGCUGGAGGCCGGAAGAGGAGUGUGGAAUACCCAGUGUAGAGGUGAAAUUCGUAGAUAUUGGAUUGAACACCGGUGGCGAAAGCGGGUCUCUGGUCCGGACCUGACGCUGAGGCGCGAAAGCGUGGUGAGCAAACAGG